UACGGAGGGUGCGUGCGUUGUCCGGAAUCACUGGGCGUCAAGGGCGCGUAGGCGGCCUGAUAAGUAGGGGGUGAAAUCCUGCGGCUUAACCGCAGGGCUGCCUUCUAAACUGUCAGGCUUGAGCACAGUAGAGGCAGGUGGAAUUCCCGGUGUAGCGGUGGAAUGCGUAGAGAUCGGGAAGAACAUCAGUGGCGAAGGCGGCCUGCUGGGCUGUUGCUGACGCUGAGGCGCGACAGCGUGGGGAGCAAACAGG
rnacentral:rRNA from 1 species